rnacentral:precursor_RNA from 12 species
GACUGGAGAUCUUUAAGAUACAGGGUGUGACUAUAAAGUAAUGAGACUGGUGUUUGUGUGCAGGAUCAGUCUCAUUACUUUAUAGUCAUGCCUUGUAUAUGCUCAUCCUUCAUACUG